rnacentral:rRNA from 1 species
GGGCGGCGUGCUUAACACAUGCAAGUCGAACGAUGAACCAGGGCUUGCCCUGGGAAUUAGUGGCGAACGGGUGAGUAACACGUGGGCAACGGCCCCAGACACCGGGAUAACCAUCCGAAAGGAUGGCUAAUACNGGAUACGACCACUUUGGGCAUCCAACGGUGGUGGAAAGGAUUCUGGUCUGGGAUGGGCCCGCGGCCUAUCAGCUUGUUGGUGGGGUAAUGGCAUACCAAGGCGACGACGGGUAGCCGGCCUGAGAGGGCGACCGGCCACACUGGGACUGAGACACGGCCCAGACUCUUACGGGAGGCAGCAGUGGGGAAUAUUGCGCAAUGGGCGAAAGCCUGACGCAGCGACGCCGCGUGAGGGACGAAGGUCUUCGGAUUGUAAACCUCUUUCAGCAGGGACGAAGCGAAAGUGACUGUACCUGCAGAAGAAGCACCGGCUAACUACGUGCCAGCAGCCGCGGUAAUACGUAGGGUGCAAGCGUUGUCCGGAUUUAUUGGGCGUAAAGAGCUCGUAGGCGGUUUGUCGCGUCGGAUGUGAAAACCCAAUGGCUUAACCUUGGGCCUGCAUUCGAUACGGGCAAACUAGAGUGUGGUAGGGGAGACUGGAACUCCUGGUGUAGCGGUGGAAUGCGCAGAUAUCAGGAAGAACACCGAUGGCGAAGGCAGGUCUCUGGGCCAUAACUGACGCUGAGGAGCGAAAGCGUGGGGAGCGAACAGGAUUAGAUACCCUGGUAGUCCACGCCGUAAACGGUGGGCGCUAGGUGUGGGGAUUGUUUCCACGAUCUCCGUGCCGUAGCUAACGCAUUAAGCGCCCCGCCUGGGGAGUACGGCCGCAAGGCUAAAACUCAAAGGAAUUGACGGAAGGG